CAGGCUUGACAUAUAGAGGACGGCAUUAGAGAUAGUGCUUCCGCAAGGCCUCUAUAC
rnacentral:rRNA from 1 species